CCUACGGGCGGCAGCAGUGGGGAAUCUUCCACAAUGGGCGCAAGCCUGAUGCAGCAACACCGCGUGAGUGAAGAAGGUUUUCGGCUCGUAAAGCUCUGUUAGUGGAGAAGAACGUGCGUGAGAGUGACUGUUCACGCAGUGACGGUAUCCAACCAGAAAGUCACGGCUAACUACGUGCCAGCAGCCGCGGUAAUACGUAGGUGGCAAGCGUUAUCCGGAUUUAUUGGGCGUAAAGCGAGCGCAGGCGGUUGCUUAGGUCUGAUGUGAAAGCCUUCGGCUUAACCGAAGAAGUGCAUCGGAAACCGGGCGACGUGAGUGCAGAAGAGGACAGUGGAACUCCAUGUGUAGCGGUGGAAUGCGUAGAUAUAUGGAAGAACACCAGUGGCGAAGGCGGCUGUCUGGUCUGCAACUGACGCUGAGGCUCGAAAGCAUGGGGAGCGAACAGGAUUAGAUACCCGAGUAGUC
rnacentral:rRNA from 1 species